UACGUAGGGUGCAAGCGUUAAUCGGAAUUACUGGGCGUAAAGCGUGCGCAGGCGGUUGUGUAAGACAGAUGUGAAAUCCCCGGGCUCAACCUGGGAACUGCAUUUGUGACUGCACGGCUGGAGUGCGGCAGAGGGGGGUGGAAUUCCGCGUGUAGCAGUGAAAUGCGUAGAGAUGCGGAGGAACACCGAUGGCGAAGGCAGCCCCCUGGGCUAACACUGACGCUCAGGCACGAAAGCGUGGGGAGCAAACAGG
rnacentral:rRNA from 1 species